ACCUCGUUAGCUCAAUUGGUAGAGCAGCAGACAAUACAAAAAACUUAAAAUGUUAUCAGUUUUUGGAUAACGAUCAGCUAUUAUUAAAAAAAGUAAUAAUCAUCUGAUGGUUGCGUGGUUCAAAUCCCGCACGAGGUU
rnacentral:tRNA from 1 species